GUCAAUGGUUAGAACUCAUGUUCCCCUCUAUUUUCUCUUUGAAUUUUCUUUUGUGACGGACGGGACUUGCAAAGCCAAUAACUUGUUGAUUGGCAUGCCAAUUGGAGAUGAUUUGAGGACUUCUUACGUGUUUGGUAGAAGGACAUGAGAGGUCAAGGAGUUUCCAUUGGGACAUUAGGACAUGCUCCUCCAUCUCCUCCGCUGGACGACAUCCAACAUCGCUAGGU
rnacentral:rRNA from 1 species